rnacentral:piRNA from 1 species
GAAGAAGAACAGAGACUACCCUCUGGCC